UCAGGAUGAACGCUAGCGACAGGCCUAACACAUGCAAGUCGAGGGGCAGCACAGGAGCAAUCUGAGGUGGCGACCGGCGCACGGGUGAGUAACACGUAUGCAACCUGCCUGUAAGCGGGGAAUAACCCGUUGAAAGACGGACUAAUACCGCAUAAUACUAAAUUACUGCAUGGUAAUUUAUUUAAACAUUUAUGGCUUACAGAUGGGCAUGCGCAUGAUUAGCUAGUGGAGAGGUAACGGCUCCCCAAGGCAACGAUCAUUAGGGGUUCUGAGAGGAAGGUCCCCCCACACUGGUACUGAGACACGGACCAGACUCCUACGGGAGGCAGCAGUGAGGAAUAUUGGUCAAUGGACGAGAGUCUGAACCAGCCAAGUCGCGUGCAGGAAGAAUUGUCCUAUGGAUUGUAAACUGCUUUUGCAGGGGAAUAAAGUGCAUCACGUGUGAUGUUUUGUAUGUACUCUGCGAAUAAGGAUCGGCUAACUCCGUGCCAGCCGCCGC
rnacentral:rRNA from 1 species